rnacentral:lncRNA from 1 species
UCCACUUCCUGCCUGGGGGAGGCACUUCGGGCCCUCGCCGGGAUUUCAGAAACCUGUUCGAGCCAUUCCUUUAUGGCUGAACGUUCUUAUUUAGUAAAUAUUUAUUUAGUUCUCUGAGGAUUCAGAACUAAUCACAGCCACUUCUCUUUAAUAAUAAAUGGUGAACUUCAAGUGCGGCACAAGUCAACCGACUAAUCAGUGCUCGCCUGAAGGUGCAAAACCAACAUGAAAGACCGAACAUUUCCUGUUCCAGCUCGCCGCGGCCGGGAAUAAACUUGAACCAGGUGUGGAGAAAAGCUCGCCAGCGCUGGUUCUCCAACCGCUCUCUGAAACAGCGCAGCGGGCGUUUUCAGUGAUGAGCUUGGAGUGCCCCUCUGUGGAAGAAGAUGAAUGCUACAGUUGCUUCCUUACAGUAAUUAGCGUGGUAGUAAGAAGAGGCCGUGGUGAAUGCCAACACAUCGCCCAAGACUCACAUUUUGCACAAGACUAAUGUGUUAGGAGAAACCUUAAAGACGAGUUGAUCCUGCCUCUGUGGGGUACUGAGAAGUAACCAAGGCCAAAGAUGGGAGUGAACAUACACUUCAUUUCUUGAGAACUAACUAGACACUUUAAAAUGUGAAGGGGACUCAAGACUCUGCCUGCCCAGACUUGUUUAUUUGUCAAAAAACAAUACCUGCCAAUCAGCGUCUUGCACAGAGCUUCAAUCACUCCAGACCAGCCAGGCCUCCCAAUGAGGACUCUGUGGUGCAAUUUCAGAAAGUAAGCUCACUUUGUUCUGAUACCCACAGCUUCCCCUUGCCUGAAUAUGGUAUUUUCUGAACUGAGAUACACUAUGGCAAAGGAUACAUGGAAUAUUGUAGGAAAAA